rnacentral:lncRNA from 1 species
CAACCAUUCCUUCUGGUCCCGCCCCCGCUUUAGAAUGAUUCCCAUUUGGGAAUUCCUCUCCAGACUCUUUCGGCGGCCUUCAUAUUUGGAUGUGGACAUUGAAGGAUUGCUGACCAAUGCCAGAGUCACAGGAAUUGCCUGCUGUGCUUUUGAUCUUCCCAUAUGACUGAAUUUCCU